rnacentral:rRNA from 1 species
UACGAAGGGGGCUAGCGUUGCUCGGAAUCACUGGGCGUAAAGGGUGCGUAGGCGGGUCUUUAAGUCAGGGGUGAAAUCCUGGAGCUCAACUCCAGAACUGCCUUUGAUACUGAAGAUCUUGAGUUCGGGAGAGGUGAGUGGAACUGCGAGUGUAGAGGUGAAAUUCGUAGAUAUUCGCAAGGACACCAGUGGCGAAGGCGGCUCACUGGCCCGAUACUGACGCUGAGGCACGAAAGCGUGGGGAGCAAACAGG